CCACCUUAACCCAAGAAACGCCCAGCCGCGCACGGCGGCCACCUUAACCCAAGAAACGCCCAGCCGCGCACGGCAGCCUGCGAUUUGGGCUGGGCGACCACGCAGCCUCCUGCCGGCGACGCACGCAGCCUCCUGCCGGCGACGCACCUCCCACCUGCCGGCGACGCACCUUCCCAGCCCAGCCGCACUUCCAACAACCCGCCACAGCCCAACAACCCGCCGACUCACCUUCCCAGCCCAGCCGCACUACCGUCGACGAAUUCCCAACCCAAGAUCUCAGCCACAACGAACUUAGAUCACUUGAAGGAAAACUAUGAAAAAAAUGUUGCUGAAUGUGUUGAAAAAGGCAUUGCUAAAGAUCCCAACCAAAUCUACUUUGAGACAGUAGGUGGGAGAAAGAAGGGAAAGGUCCCCGGGCUGGGGAGUGGAGACUCUCUAUACUUUGCACCAUCUAGAAGGGGUGGUAGUUCUUCUAGCUCAUACACCCCAUCUAUUUAUUCUCAAAUGUCAUCUCGAUUGGAAGAGACUCAACAACAGUUGACCCAAAAAUCCAUUGAGCUUGAAACAACAAAAAAUCAGAUGCUAAAGGCUAUGGAGGACGAUCUACUUUUGAGGCAAAGGGAGAGAGAAGAAAGAGAAGCAGAGCGACUAGAGCACCAAAGGGAGAUGGAAAGGGAGAGACAAAAGAGAGAAAGGGAGAGACAAGAAAGAGAAGAACAUGCCGCCCAGAUGAAAAAGGCAAUGGAGUCUUACGAGCGGAUGUUCAGCCAGUGUACUGGUUUUCCUUUCUCGCAGUCGCAGGACCCUUGAGAUCCAACCGGCGGCGGGACACCUUUGUGUUAGGUAGUUAGUAUUCUUGUAUUAGUUUGAACUAGUUGCAACUUUUCGUAUUAACAUGUUUGAACAACAUUAUGUGUAUUAUGAAUCUUUGUUGUAUGACUUUGAACAGGUUUAAUAUUAUAACAUCGAGCAGGUUUCAUA